UCUCUGCCAGAGUAGCUUUGGUACCUCUUGCUUUUGCUUUCAAGCCCCUGAAACCUGUUGCCUGUCUGCUCUCUGCCUCAGUGCUACGAUUCUUUUGGACUUGCCAAAUACCUUCUGAGACAAGACUUGUUGCAUCUACAUACUGGCUUCACUUCAGAGAAAUUUCUCCAAACAUUCAUUGUGAGAUGCAAGAUGAGGGAAGUAAGCGUCAGCAGCUCUUGGUCGUAAAACUCCUUUUGGUCACUCUCCCAGAGUGCACUGGGAGGGGAGAGGACAGAGAAUCUCUGUGUCACCUCGCCAUGGCACGGGAUGUGAGGAGAUCGCUGGGAAUGCCAAUAAUUGCUCGAACCGAGGACGAGCUGCUGCCUGCUCUCCAUGCAACAGAACCACCUGAAUAUCAGUUUAAAAAGAAAUUAUGGCAAAAUAAAGCAAUGAUGUAUAUAAAGAU